GAUGAACGCUGGCGGCGUGCCUAAUACAUGCAAGUCGAGCGAACAGAUGAGGAGCUUGCUCCUCUGACGUUAGCGGCGGACGGGUGAGUAGCACGUGGAUAACCUACCUAUAAGACUGGGAUAACUUCGGGAAACCGGAGCUAAUACCGGAUAAUAUAUUGAACCGCAUGGUUCAAUAGUGAAAGACGGUUUUGCUGUCACUUAUAGAUGGAUCCGCGCCGCAUUAGCUAGUUGGUAAGGUAACGGCUUACCAAGGCAACGAUGCGUAGCCGACCUGAGAGGGUGAUCGGCCACACUGGAACUGAGACACGGUCCAGACUCCUACGGGAGGCAGCAGUAGGGAAUCUUCCGCAAUGGGCGAAAGCCUGACGGAGCAUCGCCGCGUGAGUGAUGAAGGUCUUCGGAUCGUAAAACUCUGUUAUUAGGGAAGAACAAAUGUGUAAGUAACUAUGCACGUCUUGACGGUACCUAAUCAGAAAGCCACGGCUAACUACGUG
rnacentral:rRNA from 1 species